CUUUGUGCGGUCAGAAAAUUACGGAAAUUUUGUGCUUGAGGUGGAAAAAUCCCACACCAUCGAGGAUGUGUUAAUCACUAUUCUUCCUCAUGAGCUGCUACAGUCAGAUUGGGAACCUUUACUUAUUUCAAUGGCCGUCUACUACUGGAGAUUGAGAGACCUUUGGCCCACUACGGAAUCCAGAAUGGGUCCAUCCUUCACCUUGAGUGCGAAGAAGGGGGAGCCCGUGCUGACGAUGAUGAGAGACAGUGGCCAAAAGAAAUUUUGGAAAGAAAAAAGAUUAAAA